AGCCUACCGAUGUCUACGAAGUCAACCAAGCAAUUGUGCACCAUUUAUACACGGAAAACGAUGGUCAGAAUGAUAUAGGACUGCUUAAGCUCCCGAUAGACAUUAUCUUUAAUCAAAACGUUCGGCCAAUUUGCAUUUUCAUGGACGAGAGACUUAAGACAAAUGUUACCAGUGUACGGACGUUUAAAAGUUUUCGCUGGGAAAGAGAACUUCUUCGAAAGAUAACCGUUCACCAGUUAGAUCGAGCUGAGUGCGAAAAGGACUUGAAUGUGAAGUGCAGUUCUAAGCAAAUAUGUACUGGUGAUCCCAACGGGGAUUCGGCCUGUGGCGAUUAUGGUGGUCCUUUAACCGCAACUCUCUCUUUUAAUAAUAGAUUUCUUGAAGCGCAGUUAGGGAUCGUUAGCAGGUGCGGCUAUCUAGCAAUAUAUACCGAUGUGUCAAGCUAUGUGGACUGGAUUGGCGAACAAGUGAAUAAGGCAGAAUAGUCAUAGAAGAACCAAUGCUCCCACCUGGGAAAACGAAGUCCUAAGCCCAUCCAAAUAUUCUAAUAAAACGACUUUAUUUUGAUAUGUUUAAAAACAAUGAAGCAUUGUAAAUUUUUCAAUAAACUUUGGCAGAAAAAAAACGA